rnacentral:sRNA from 1 species
GCCGGUCAUGGUGGUACAUGCCUGUAAUCCUAGCAGCUGGGGAGGCUGAGGCAGGAGGAUUGUGAUUCAUAGUCAGCCUCAGCAAUUUUUUGAGGUCCUAAGCAAUUCAGCAAGACCUUGUCUCUA